rfam:Chelonia mydas contig260730, whole genome shotgun sequence.
GCUCCAGUGGUGCAGUGGGUUAGCGCACAUUACUUAUAGAGCAGUGCUGCAUGGAGUGAUGCUGAAGUUGUGAGUUCAAGCCUCAUCUGGAGCA